UUAUGGUUAUGACGUUCCAUAUGAUUUUUUUUUCUUAAAAGUUUGAUUCUUGCUUUUCAAUUAGGAUUUUGAAUUUUUUAUAUGUAAGAUUUUUCUGUUUUUUCUAAAUGAUUAUUUAUUUUUCAGUAUUUAUUUUUAGUUUUUAAUUAAUGUUAAAACUAGGAUUUUAAUUUUUGACUGACAAAAAUUGUGCCAGCCGUCGCGGUUAAACAAUUAGUUAAAUUUUAUUUUAUUGGGUUUACAUUAGUUUUUUUUAUUUUAAGUUAAUUUUGAUUUUUUAGGUGAAAUUUUUAUUUGAUAUAAAUUUAAUGGUUAAAUAUUUUAAUGUGUGAAAAUCAUAAAUAAACUAGGAUUAGAUACCCUAUUAUAAUGAUUGUAAAUUUUUCCUUAAUAUUAAUAGUUUUGUUCUUUAAAUUAAAAGAAUUUGGCGGUAAUUUAAUCUUUCUAGAGGAACCUGUUUUUUAAUUGAUAAUCCACGAUUGAUUUUACUUUAAUUUUGUUUAUAUAUCGCUGUCAUUGAAUGUGUUAUAAGGUAAUUUUCUUUUAAUUUUAUGAAUUUAAUGUUAGGUCAAGAUGUAGCUAUAUUAAAGUAUUGAUGGGUUACAUUUAUUUUAAUAAUGGAUUAUUAUUUGUAAUUAUUAAUAUGAAAUUGGAUUUAGGUGUAAUUUUUUUUAAAUUAUAGAUUUGAUUUUAGUUCUAAAUUAUGUACACAUCGCCCGUCACUCUCAUUUUAAGUUGAGAUAAGUCGUAACAAAGUAGGCCUACCGGAAGGUGGGCCUGGUAAGUU
rnacentral:ncRNA from 1 species